GCUCAGGAUGAACGCUAGCUACAGGCUUAACACAUGCAAGUCGAGGGGCAGCAUAAAUCUAGCAAUAGAUUUGAUGGCGACCGGCGCACGGGUGAGUAACACGUAUCCAACCUACCUAUUACUCGGGUAUAGCCUUUCGAAAGAAAGAUUAAUCCCCGAUACGAUAUUGAGUUCGCAUGAAUUUGAUAUGAAAGAUUUAUUGGUAUUAGAUGGGGAUGCGUUCCAUUAGAUAGUUGGUGAGGUAACGGCUCACCAAGUCUUCGAUGGAUAGGGGUUCUGAGAGGAAGGUCCCCCACACUGGAACUGAGACACGGUCCAGACUCCUACGGGAGGCAGCAGUGAGGAAUAUUGGUCAAUGGGC
rnacentral:rRNA from 1 species